ensembl:misc_RNA Metazoa_SRP Metazoan signal recognition particle RNA
GCCAGGUGUGGUGGUGCACAUCUGUAGUCCCAGAUACUUGGGAGGCUGAGGUGGGAGGAUCAGUUGAGCCCAGGGGGUUGAGGCUGCAGUGAGCCAAGAUCAUGCCACUACACUCCAGCCUGGGCAACAGAAUGAGACCCUGUCUCAA